rnacentral:lncRNA from 1 species
AUUAAAAUCAACCACAAACUUUGCAUUAUUAUCCUCUCUUUUAACCUAACUAGCUAGUCGGUAAACUGGUCUAGUUAACAAAUGAUUCUUUCUUGGUAUGCUAAGUCCAAAUAUCUCUUGCAUGUCUAAUUCAUGAGAAGACAUGCCUAAUGGAAGCACCCAAUCAAAACAAUGCACCAAUUGAGCCAAAACAAGGCUAAGCGUGGUUAAACCCAAAUGAAUCCCGGGACACCCUCUUCGACCAGACCCAAAUGGUAAAAUGCGAAAGUCCUUUCCACGAAUAUCUAUGUUGUCAUUCUCAAACCUUGUAGGAUCGAAAAUCGCAGCAUUGUUCCAAACUUUAGGAUCCCGUCCUAUAGCCCAUGCAUUUACUAUAAUCCUUGAUUUUUUCUUUAUGAAAUAACCAUCAAUGAUAACAUCUUCUCUACACUCACGAGGUACUAACAAAGGUGCAACCGGGUGCAACCUUAGUGUUUCCUUUACCACCAUGUUCAAAUAAGACAAAUUUUCUAAGUCAUUUUCCUCCACGUGUCUAUUCAUUCCAACCACAUGUUCUAGCUCGUGUUGAAGUCUCUUCAUCACACUUGGGUGCCUCAAGAGUUCUGACAUGGCCCAUUCUAACAUUGUGGAAGACGUUUCUAAUGCUCCAGCAAUUAUGUCUAAUAUGAUAGCUUUGAUGUUUGUCCUAUCAAUGACGUUUUGGUUGUUGUGAACUUCAUUUGGUUGGUGGAUGAGUGAGAGCAAAACCUCCACAAAGUCCAUGUUGCAUUUUUUAUCUUUGUCAUAUGGAUUACUCUUUUUGUCUUGGAUUAUUUGCUCAAAGCCUUUAUCAAGUGACUUGCUUGCUUUCUUUAAUCUUUUUGUUAGUCCCUGAACAACGUUUUCAUGGAUAAAUAUGAAAAAAAUAAUAUAAUUAUAACAUAUUCUUUGGUACAGAUAUGACAACAAACAUUUGGAUUUAUUUAUUUAUGGAGUCACAAGUAAUUUUUAUUCAAUAAUAAUAAAUAUGUCAAAAGUUAGAUAAACACUAGUAUGAAUAAAGACGAAUUUAGUUUCAAUUUACACCAAUUUAUUUCUCGAGUUAAUUGAAUUUAUUUUAUUCCAAAUUGCAUUUCAUUAAUUAAUUAAAUUAUGUGAAAUUAAAAAGUUAUAUUUAUUUUUUUUAAUUGCAAUAAUUAAAAUUGAAAAAAUCACAUGCAACCAAAGUAAAAAAAAAAAUCAGAAAUAAACAUAAAAAAUAUUAUUAAAAUAUUAAAAUUAAAUAAAAUUAUUGCAAAAAACCCUAAAUAAUUCUAACCCAUUUAAAAUAAAUACAAAUCACAUUAAAAAUAAAAUAAAACACAAAAACUAGCCAAGAGGCAUGAUUUAAAAAACCAAAAUAAAUAGUAAAAAUGUGUCUAGUGUCAUAACUUCACAUUAAAAAAAAGGAAAACUAAAACUUUAUAACAUACCACUUAAUACAUCUUUAAUAAAAUAAUAUUUAAAAAAAUAAUCUAGAAAACGUGUUUCCAAAUAUUAUUUUAUUAAAAAAAAACUUAAAAUUCGUAUUAUGAGAUAUAACUUGAGCAAGUGCCGGAACCCUCAGCACAGCCAAGAUGUAAUGGUUGUUCAAUAAGCAGUUAAUAAGAACCUCAAUUACUAUCAUUUUAGUAUUAAUAUAAAAGAAGAAUUAAAUAUAUUUUCAUAUAAACAAAAUUAGUUUUCAUAAUUUAUCCAAAUUUUAGACUUUUUAAAUAUUUAUAAAAGAAAUAUUAAAUUUGUCAUUUUAUAAAUUUUUAUAUAUAUUAUAUAUUAUAAUGCAUGCAUAUAUACUAUAACAAGUUUUAGUUGCAACAUAUAUAUAAUUAAAUUGAUACCUGAAGAUCAAACACUCUUAGCCAGGGAAUGUAAUCUGCAAGAUUAAAAGCUCCAAUCAAGUUGAGAGCCUCUUGAAUAAGGUUUUUCAGGUCCAAUCUAUCAUCUUUUGCACACCCCAACACCAUUUUAAACACCAUCUUCUCCAUCAGCUCCCCCAGCAACUCACUCAGAUCAACAACCUCACCAGAUGCUGCAGAAUGUUUCAGAGACUUCACCAACACUCCCAACUCCUCUCUCCUCAUAGGAGCAAACAUCUCAACCCUUGAGGCACUCAGAAGCUGCACAGUGCACACUUUUCUCAUGUUGCGCCAGUAUGCACUGUACUCAGAAAAAGCCAAACCCUUGCUGCCAUGUGAAAGGAAUUCAGAGGCUUGGAUUUUGGGUCUGCUGGCAAAAACAGUGUCAUGGGUUUUGAGGAACAGUUCUGCAGUUUCUGGGGAAGAAACCACUAUGGCUGGGAUCUGCCCUAGCUUUAAGGACAUUAUGGGACCAUAUUUUGUGGCAAGGGAUUGAAGGGUUCGAUGUGGGAGUUUUCCUAGCAUGUGAAGGUUACCAAUUAUUGGCAAGGGUUUGGGACCUGGUGCAGUUUUUCCAUCAUGUUUCUUUUGGAACAGAAAAACAAUGAAUGAGAUUAAGAGAAGUAUUAUAGGGAUAGCUAGUGCUUGAAACAACAUUUCUAAAUUGUUUAUUUGCUUGAUGAGAAUUAAGAGAUGAGUUUAGGGUAUUUAUAGACCUUAAUAUAUAACAUACUGUACAUAGAGAGAGACUUUCAAAUGUAUUAGAAUAAGUGAUUUUGUAAGAAUUUUAGAACAAACAUUUUGUUAGAAAUUUUAGAAUAAACAUUUGAAAUUUUAGAAAAAAACUUCUUUAUUUUAUUCAGAUUUUAAAAUAAACUUUUAAAAUUUAACUAAAGUUAAAAAAUCUUCUUUAUUUUAUUUAAUUUUUAUAAAAAAAUUUAAAAAAUCGUUAUAAAAUUUUAAAAUAAAUCUCUAAAAUUUAACGUUGGAAAUCUGUUAUAAAAAAUAAUAAUAAUAGAAGAUAUUUUAGAUUGCGCAGGAAAACAAUUUGUAUUUUAUAUAAAUCUUUUUGUGACCAAAAAUUGAUCAGGAGAAAUUUUAAAAAAUGUCGUUUUCAAAUGGUAGCUGCAAAUUUCUUAAUUCAGUACUCCUUUCCAUAAGUCCUUGAAUUGUAUAUAGUAAUUUAAUAAAAAUUAGGUUAAUAUAAUUAGAAAUUGUAUAUUUAUUUAUUUAUUAAGUAACAUAGACCAAUUGUUUUCCUUCUGUCUUUGGUGGUCCUGAACCCUAAGAUAGUUGCCAUUAUGAUUGGUCAGCAAGGAAUGGGAAACUACAUCUCAGCUGGGUCCAAGUGCUUUGCCUUAAUUGGCAUCAAAUUUAUGUGAAACCUAACAAUAAUUUGAUUAUUCUUAAUUGUUAUUACGAAAUUCAAACUCAACUAAACUUCACCUUUUAUUAUGUGUUGGAAUAAUUUUGUGAGUUUUGCUUUUUUAAGUCUUGUGAUGGAAAGUGUAUGAAUUUAUUCUAAUUAUAUUAUGAUUUAUUUGAAAUGUAAGAUUUGGGAUUAUUGGGUGUUUGAAUAUGAAUAUAUAGAUAUAUAGUUUAGUAUAUAAGCUCAUUGAGAGAGUAUUUGUCUAAUCAUAAGCAAGGUGGUAUCUAUUUUGGCUGUUAGAUUUUGUAAAAAUAUAGAUUCGGAAUUGAAUUCUCGAAAGAAGGCUUCAAAAAAUAUAAGUUUUUAUGAAAGUUAAAUCAGUAAUUUUUUUUGAUUAAGUGAGAUAAUUUUUCUUAAGUGAAAUAUCCUCACUCAAGCUAAAAGUAGACAGUGAAUUUUGGGUUGUUCCUAAACUUAUUUUCACUAAAGUGAAGUUUUUUAACUCAAGUUAAAAAAUAGAGUCUCUCGUAUUCAUUUUCGCUCAAGCGAGAGCAAAUCUUGCUCAAGAAAAAAUGGGGCUAAAGUUUGGGGUGCUCUUGGAUUUAUUUUCACUCAAACGACGAGAUUUUUACUAAGGUGAGACUCAUUUAUGCUCAAGCUAAAAAAAACUUCAAUUUUGAAAAAUUGCUUCUAAAACACUGUUUUAUUAUUGUCUAUUACUUUAUUAAAUUUAUUUGAAAUUUUAGUCAUAUAUGUAAUUGAAAAAGCAUUUGAUUAUAUGUUUAUGUAAUUUCUUGAAUAUUUUUGGAUUUUUAAAAUUCUAAACUUUGUAUGUUUUAAUGGUGUAUUGAUGUAUGGUAUGGAAUAUGAUUUAUGUGAAAAUGUAACCAAGACAUAGUAUUUUUAGGAAAGCAAACACCGUGUUGAUAUUGUUAGGAGAGUGUAUUUAUUUGUGAGUACUAUGUGAAAGGGACGAUCCUGACUCUAGUGAUAUUUUGGAAUCAUGUAGAUGACAGGUAUCAGGUGGCGAGUAUCGAGAGAGGUUCAUAUGACUGAGUAUGCAGUUUGAAAGAACUUAUCAAAGCAAAUUAUAUGGAAUUACCCGUAUCAUAUGUGAUGGAUUUCCUGAAGGGAAGACUAUAUGUUGUGAUGAGAACAUGAUAACAUGACAAGUGCAAGUCUCUAAGUGCUAUAAUUUCAAUAAAUGGUUCUUCCAAAAGUAGAGUCAAAUGUCUAUGUGUGGAUGUCAGUAGAUUUCUAGCAUGAGUUAUGUCGAACAUGUGAAAAAAUGUAGACACUUGAUUGUGUAGUACAUAAAAAAUUGUGAUUGCAUUCAUUGGAUUAAAUGAAGUGUGAUGUUUCAGAUGUUAUAAUGAAAUACUAGUUUACCCAUUUUCUUUUGUCUAUGGUUAUUAUUAUUUUUUAAAACCGAAGAUGAUCGUGCUUUACAAAAAGAGUAGAGAUUAUAAGUAAUGGAUCUUAUUAUUGAGGAGCCGGAGAGUUAAUAGAGAUUUUUUUAAAAAUUUGAAUCUUUUGAUGUAUAUACAUUUUUAAAUCUCUAUAAAAAGGGAAAAUAAUUUUUAAUGUAAUAUUGUGAGUAGUUAGAGUAGCGAAAAUGGAUGUUACAAUAUUUCCUCUUUUUACUAUAAUGUAACCAAAAAAUGAUAUCAAAAUAUUUUAACUAUAUAUGGUAAAAUUAAUAAAUUAGCUAUCAUUUUUAUAUUUUAAAUAUAUAUUACUAUCUUUUAUAUUUUAAUAUAUGUGGUUAGUAUCUUUAAAAAAAAUUAUCUUUUACCCAUUACUUUAAUUUUAUAAGAACAAUUAAUUAUUGUAUUAUUAUUAAUAUAUGUACUCUCUAGUUUCUUUAUCACUUUAAAUUAAAAAUAAUAAUAUUAUAAAAGAAAUAACUAAUGUUUCACUACUUAAACUUAUAUAAAAUUACAUAUAAUAAGAAUUACAAAAAUAAAUACUUAGUUAAUGUUCUCGUCGGUUGACUCGCUUGUCGGUUGACUCGAACGGCAGUCUAUGCCCCGUCUGUCUCCGCCUGUGAAUCAUGCUUCCUAGGGUUGAAGAACAUUUUACCUGCAAAGACAAAGGGCGUCUUGGCGGCCGUUUGCACUCUCACACUCAAGUCAGUACUGGAGCAAAAAACAAUAAGUGUAUAAAGUAUUUUCAGUCUUAGAAACUGUGUACAUUGCUAGGGUUCUUACCACCCUUUAUAUAGGUUGUAACUAGGGUUUACUUCUGUUCUGUUACCCACAUCUAGGGUUCCUUGGAGAAUGUUCAUGCGCCGCUAUUACACAAUCUUAGCAUAAUCUGGCACAUAGGACUUCCCUUUACUGGAGUGCAACGACUAACAGAAUGGUCGCCAAGGUACCAACUCAUGCACCAAUGCGGCGGGGUCAUCUGUUCUAUGGGUGCCCCAAGUAUUCGUGUGCCAUGCAUGCAGCCUACCCUUGGAAACCCUAACUCUAAUGGGCCUUAGCGCCUCUAAGAGUUAUUUACUUGUGUUGUGCACAAAUGUGUCAUACACCCCACAUGCAUGGAUCCCUUGUGACUUAGGCUUUCUGAUAUCUGAGUGUUUUAUCUAAUAACUAAUAUGAUUUCUAGGGCCCACCUUACGUGGUCCAUCUUUACUAUUUGACACCGAUGUCUGAUGUCUGAGGUCCUCUCUGGAGUCGAUGACCGAGGACUAGUCGAUACAGUUAAAUUUUAAGUCAUUUAUAAGUAUGAAUAUUUUCAAUUGAGUCAAAUAGUCUCACAUUAUCUAGGAGAUGAGAUCAAGUAUAAUUUUAAUACAUAUUUCUUUCUUAGUACUUUAAAACAUUUUGUAAGGAUAAAAUCGUAACAAAACUUUUUGACGUGAUUGACUGAUGUUAUCUCAAAAUAUUUGAGGUUGAAAUAUGGGUGUAAUCUAUGACAAUUGAAAAAUGAUUUCAAAUAUAUUAAAUGAUAUGGAUACAAGAUUUCUAUAAAAAAAUCAAUAUCAAUUGUGUUUUUUCUAAUUCUUAUUUGUUUGUCUAUGUAAAGGUGUAUAACCUUUAUUUUGUCUUUUCAGAUUUUAGUCUUUAUUGAUUGACUUUUUAUUUUCCAUUUUCUCUCCUUAGCUAGACCUAGAUGAGUAUAAUAAUUGUAUAUAUUCAGACUAUUUGUUUUGAUUUCAAUAGAAAAAUAGAAGAAUUAUUCCUUCUCACAUCUCUUUUUUUUAUCAACAACAACAACUAAAUAAAAGUGAACCACUUCAGGGGUGGAUCAACCCUUAUACAAGAAAUACAUAAUCCAACGUCUAACACGACCCUCCAAACCAAACAGGCAAGUCCACACUAAGAACCUAAAAACCUAAAAAACAUCAAAUAACCAAACGCAUAUAUUCCAAAGGUUUCAAACACCAACUGGAAAAGGAAACCAAAGCAGUGCGCGUCUCUUGCCUUCAUUUUUCUCUUUUGUUCAUCUUUGUUCUAUUUUAUAUUAAAAGACAACUCUCAUUAUCUUUAGUCCUUGACUAUGGGCUUGUUCAGUAACAUCCAGCCGUCUCACAUUGCUUAUGAGUCGAGAUCAUGGAUAAUUUAAUUACACAUUACUCUUAUAAUCCUUCAAAACGUAAUGAAACUUUGAGCUCCAAAGUGGACAAUAUUUUGGAUGCAGUAAUUGAUAAGUUAGCUAAUUUAUGAUUUAUUCAUAGAAAAUCUUUUCAUUGGUAUAAUAGGUUUCCAUCUAGUCUGUUCUUGGAAUUCUUUAUGAAUAUGUAUAGUCUACAUAUGUAUCUUUUUUGUUAACAUGUGAGUUUUUGUCUAGUCUCCUUAAUAAAAUAUUUUUUUAUGUGAUGACAAAUGAUUGUUGUUACUUGAAGUAUCAACAUCUGAUAUUUUAAGUUAUAUAAUGAUGUCUAAUAUGAAAAUUUUUAUUUAAUAAAAAAAGUAAGCAAUAUUUUGAAUGAGUGAUUAUUCCUAAUUAUUUUAUCUCAACAGAAAUCAAAACGAAAUUAUUAAAAUUUUAAAAUAAAUAGUUUAUUAUGCAUUAGUAUACUUAAGAGGUGGUAAAAAUCUUCUCAUUUACGUCAGAAGAAAAUUCCGUUUUUCCUCAAAUAUAUGCAUAUCAAAUCUACACUAAAUAAAAUAAAACCAGAAUAUGUGGAUACUUACAAAUGAUGAACAUACAUAUUUUACUAUAUACCUGCAAGGGUUUAAAUAGUUAUUAAUAUUAAUUAAAUAUGUUAGAGUUUGAUUUUUAAUGUAUACGGUAAGAUUAAUAAAUUAGCUGUUAAUUUAUAGUUUGUAGUUCAUUCUUUUUAUAUUUCAAUAUAUUUGGUCAGUAUCUUUAAUUUUUUAUCUAUUAUUAAUUAUUUAAUUUUAUAAAAAAAAUUCAUUAUCGUUAAUUAUUAAUUAAUAUUUGUAUUCUUUAAUUUUUGUAUGUACUUUAAAUUAAAAAAAAAAUACUAUAAAAGAAAUAACUAAUGUUUCAUUACUUAAAGCUUAUAUAAAAAUUACAUAUAUAAUAUGAAAGGUAAGAAAUUGAUUGUUUAUAAAAAAAUUAUCUUAUUUAUCAACACUUUAUUUAUCAUGGAUUGGAUCGAAUUUGGUCGAAUUCAGAUCCAAUUUGAUCAAUCUAAUAUUAUCUAAAUUGAAUAUUUUAAAUUUUAUAUCCGGUCAUUUAAUUUAUUGAGUUAGUCAAAUAUAAAUUACAAGUUAAUUUGAACAAAUUAUUCAGAUUAUGAAUUCAUAUCAAGUUAUUUUUUUAAUAAAAUAUUUUAUUUUAAAUAAAUGAAAUAAAUACACCAAAUCUUUAAAAAAAAUCAUAUGUGUGAUUUUAAUGAUUAUUUAAUUUUAUAUAGUUUAUUAUUAAAUUUUAAAAAGUAUUAACCAAAAAUAAAUUUUAAAAUUUAAAAUAUACUUACAAAUUUAUAAAUAUUAAAAUAUUCUUUUUAAGAUUAGUUUAGAUACUCAUAAAUUCUAAUCUAUGAUCCAAAUUCAACCCUUAUUAUUUGUUUUAAUCAACUUUAUUUAUUUAGUACUACCUGUCACUGGACCAAACCUGACCUUGUGUAGAUGGGUCGAAUGCAUUCUAUUUACAGAAGCCUAAAUGUUUUAACACCACAUUCUAUUUCUUUUUGAGUAAAUAUUAAAUUUCAUAUUUAUGUGAAUCUUACAAAUUUUGUUCUAUUUAUUAUGUUAUUACGUUAAUUCAUCUUAUAAUUCUUCUUUUUUCAUUGACUUCAUUAUUAUUGAGUAACCAAACUAUCAUAAUUGAUCUCGUUUAUUUUAAAUGAUUUUUAUUUAAAAAAAUAAGAUAGGUUUUAUUGAUGGAACCAUAGAUACUCCCACUCAUAUUAGCUUAUUAUUUUUAGCAUGGCAGAGAGCCAAUAUGUUGGUUGUUUCCUGGAUGCUCAAUGUUGUUUGUUCAUCCAUUGUACAGAGUAUCAUUUGUAUGGAUGAUACCUUUGACAUAUGGGAAUGAUUUAAAGGAAAGGUUCUCAUAAGGAGACAUGAUUUAUAUUUCUUAUUGUCAAGAGAUGAUUUCUUCUUACAAACAAUAUUCUAAUAAUGAAGAGCAAAAUCAUGAAAGUUCAAAGACAAAAGUGUAGUCUCGACAGAUUGGUUUUACCCCUGAGUAGUAUCAAACAACAACAAAAUUAAUUACAUUUUGACAACAAUGAUAUUUAUGCAUUUUAUAACAAUUAUAUGAAUUUUGUCAGUUACCCAGAGCUUUUUAAAUUUAUUGAUUUUAACUACUAUACUAAAGAAGGAAUCAUUGUGUAAAUGAAAUCAAGAUAGUUAAAUUAGGGAAUCUUAAACUGAAAAUUGUCUUCAUUAGUAAAUUAUCAAUUGAACUAGCUCUUAUUUUAAGAACUAUUCGUUGGUGAUAGUAUGAGACAAAAGCUAAAUAAAAGACAAUUGUGUUGGCUCUUCACUCGUCCAACAUAAAAUGCAAUGACAUCGAUGGAAAAUAUGGAUACAACAAUUGUAAAAAUAGAUAAACUCUCACCCGUCACGAGUUGUGUCACAAACAAAAAUAGUUAUACUUAAACCAUUGAACUGAUAAAACUCUUGAUAACUUACAUCGAAAAACAAAAUCAUUAUUCAAAUUAUUUUAUCAUAUGGCUAAAUGUGUAAUAUGUCUCAAAUUGAAAUUGGAAUUGAAAUCAACCACAAACAUAUCUAGAUUGACCUUGCUUUCCAUUAUUAUCCUCUAUCUUAACCUAACCAGUUAGUCGAUAAACCGGUCUAACUAACAAAUGCUUCUUUCUUGGUGUGGUGAGUCCAAAUAUCUCUUGCAUGUCUAACUCAUCACAAGACAUGCCCAAUGGAAGCACCCAAUCAAAACAAUGCACCAAUUGAGCCAAAAUAAGGCUAAAC